AUUGAACGCUGGCGGCAGGCUUAACACAUGCAAGUCGAGCGGGGGAGGUUGCUUCGGUAACUGACCUAGCGGCGGACGGGUGAGUAAUGCUUAGGAAUCUGCCUAUUAGUGGUGGACAACAUUCCGAAAGGAAUGCUAAUACCGCAUACGCCCUACGGGGGAAAGCAGGGGAUCUUCGGACCUUGCGCUAAUAGAUGAGCCUAAGUCGGAUUAGCUAGUUGGUGGGGUAAAGGCCUACCAAGGCGACGAUCUGUAGCGGGUCUGAGAGGAUGAUCCGCCACACUGGGACGGAAACACGGACCAGACUCCUACGGGAGGCAGCAGUGGGGAAUAUUGGACAAUGGGCGGAAGCCUGAUCCAGCCAUGCCGCGUGUGUGAAGAAGGCCUUUUGGUUGUAAAGCACUUUAAGCGAGGAGGAGGCUCUUAAGGUUAAUACCCUUGAUGAGUGGACGUUACUCGCAGAAUAAGCACCGGCUAACUCUGUGCCAGCCGCCGCAGUAAUAC
rnacentral:rRNA from 1 species